rnacentral:lncRNA from 1 species
CCAUUAUGGUACAAAAUUGUUUCUUAUGAAUCUAUGUAUUGUUAUCAUCAAAACAUAAGGCUAGAUGCAGAAUCAAAUCAUGUUCUUACAUAACGGUUAUUUUAUCUUCUUGAAUUUACAAUUAUUAGUUAAGCAUCAACUAAAUAAAAUAAAAUAAAAUAAAAUACAAAAAAUAAAACAAAAAAUAAACAUAAAAAAAUAAUAA